AACCGAUCAGCCCAUCGCUGAACACGAAACAAGGGAAGGAGGCUCGUAAAACCCACACCAAGGAGGAGGCUGACGUGUGCCGCGAGGAUGGGCUGGCGGUCGUACAAGCCCGAGCGCUGCCGCUCGCUUCUUGGUCUGCUCAUCUGCCACCCAACUGGAGUUUAUUUGUUAACACUUCUUCCCAAAGCUGGCUCCCAGCAGAGCUGCUGCUGAGCUGGCUUUUCAUCUCUGCGCCGCACUGGAGAGCAGGACCAGGCUGGAGCACGAACAAGCGGAGAGCCCACAGCUCCGGGAUCCGGCCCCUCAUACUUCUGAGACGAUGCUAGGAAAACAAGGAGCGAACAAUGCUGGGGUAUGGCACCGCAGGGGAAGCGCCUCCUAUCCAAGAUGCUGCUUUUGUUGGACCAAGCCCGUACGUUCAGUAGAUGCUGCUUCAGCGUAAAGAUGCUCUUGUGGGACCAGCAAGCAGUAAGCUGAUCAGGGACAUCUCUGUGAAGAUAUAGCAUCAGACACCGCCAUGAAUUCUUCUGCUUCAGUGCUUCAAAAAGCAAGACAGGGAGUACGUGGUUUUCCUACUGACAGAUACUGGUGGGAUGAGUGUACCAACAGGAAACCUCAACAUCUGAAAGGCUGGACCUUGUUUAAAGUCUCUUUUUCUCCCAAGAUCCACAUACUCAGUCUUUCAAAGCCUUGAGGCCUGUGCUAUCAGCGUAUUGAGGGUUUACUUGUAGCUGGAAGUUAAGAAUAACUUCUCCUGUAUUAAAUAAUCUGUACUUCUGUUUAUAGCCUUAAUCAUUGUCAUCUUUUUUUUAUGCUCUCUGGUGGGAGCACAUGGCUCUGUGCUGCCAUAAACCCACAACAUUCUCAGACACUAGACAUGUUUUUUUAUC
rnacentral:lncRNA from 1 species